rnacentral:rRNA from 1 species
GAUGAACGCUAGCGGCAGGCCUAAUACAUGCAAGUCGAACGGGAUUAAGAGGCUUGCUUCUUAUGAGAGUGGCGCACGGGUGCGUAACACGUAUGCAACCUACCUUCAACUGGGGGAUAGCCUUCCGAAAGGGAGAUUAAUACCGCAUAAUAUAAUUGAGUGACAUCACUUGAUUAUCAAACGUCAGGGUUGAAGAUGGGCAUGCGUCCGAUUAGUUUGUUGGUGAGGUAACGGCUCACCAAGACUACGAUCGGUAGGGGAUCUGAGAGGAUGGCCCCCCACACUGGUACUGAGACACGGACCAGACUCCUACGGGAGGCAGCAGUAAGGAAUAUUGGUCAAUGGACGGAAGUCUGAACCAGCCAUGCCGCGUGCAGGAAGACGGUCCUCUGGAUUGUAAACUGCUUUUGUUAGGGAAGAAACUUCCGUACGUGUACGGGACUGACGGUACCUAAAGAAUAAGGAUCGGCUAACUCCGUGCCAGCAGCCGCAGUAACAC